ensembl:miRNA mir24c microRNA mir-24c
UAAAAUCCAUAGUGAUAUUCAUUACUUUAAUGCAAGCUGAGAGAAGUGAGCAUGAUUCAAUGGCUCAGUUCAGCAGAACAAUGUCUUAACCUUUUA